rnacentral:rRNA from 1 species
UACGGAGGGGGCUAGCGUUGUUCGGAAUUACUGGGCGUAAAGCGCACGUAGGCGGCUUUGUAAGUUAGAGGUGAAAGCCCGGAGCUCAACUCCGGAAUUGCCUUUAAGACUGCAUCGCUCGAAUCAUGGAGAGGUGAGUGGAAUUCCGAGUGUAGAGGUGAAAUUCGUAGAUAUUCGGAAGAACACCAGUGGCGAAGGCGACUCACUGGACAUGUAUUGACGCUGAGGUGCGAAAGCCAGGGGAGCAAACGGG